rnacentral:rRNA from 1 species
CACCCCAAAACUAGCCUAUAAGAAAAAAUCAACUAACCCCUAUCCAUAACCCCUCAUACACCACUAACUAAUAAUCAAAUCAUUCUUCCCCCUAAGUACGGGAGACAGAAAAGGAAAAAAGAGCUAUAGAAAAAGUACCGUAAGGGAACGAUGAAAGAGAAUUGAAACAACUCAUUCAAGUACAUAAAAGCAGAGAUUUAACCUCGUACCUUUUGCAUCAUGGUUUAGCAAGUAUACCCAAGCAAAGAGAACUUAAGUUUGAACACCCGAAAUCAAGUGAGCUACUCCGAGACAGCCUAAUGGGCCAACCCGUAUCUGUGGCAAAAGAUUGGGAAGAGCUCUGAGUAGAGGUGAAAAACCUACCGAACUAGAUUAUAGCUGGUUGCCUGAGAAAUGGAUAAGAGUUCAGCCUACUUACAAACCAAAUCAACAAAUUAUAACUAAGCAGAGUAUGUUAAGUAAGUAGAGUUAGUCAGAAGGGGUACAGCUCUUCUGACCAAAGACACAACUUUUUAAGCAGGAUAAGGAUCAUAUUAUAUUAAAGGUUAAUGCCCCAGUGGGCCUAAGAGCAGCCACCUGAAAAGAAAGCGUUAAAGCUUAAGCAAAUUAACCCCUAAAAUUAGGAUAUUAUUUCCUAAUCCUCUACAAAUAUCAGGCCAUCCCACCUUUAAGGGAGAGAUAAUGCUAAAAUGAGUAAUAAGAAGGAUAAGACCUUCUCCAACCACAAGUGUAAACCGAAACGAACCCGCACCGAUAAUUAACGGGCCCAAAACCAGAGGGUAAUGAUUGAACCACACAAGAAAACCCAUCAACCACACUCCGUUAACCUUACACUAGGGUGGCUUUAAGGAAAGAAUUAAAGGAGAAGAAGGAACUCGGCAAACAUUACUAGCCUCGCCUGUUUACCAAAAACAUCGCCUCUUGACUAUCACUAAUAAGAGGUCCCGCCUGCCCCGUGACUAUAAGUUUAACGGCCGCGGUAUUUUGACCGUGCAAAGGUAGCGCAAUCACUUGUCUUUUAAAUAAAGACCUGUAUGAAUGGCACGACGAGGGCUCAACUGUCUCCUUCCCCAUAUCAAUGAAAUUGAUCCCCCCGUGCAGAAGCGGGCAUAACAACAUAAGACGAGAAGACCCUGUGGAGCUUUAAAUGACUGAAUAACUUACAUAAAAACCUUUAGAUAAACCAGCAAACUAAGUUAAACCUUAUUCAAAUAUUUUUGGUUGGGGUGACCACGGGGUAAAAUCCAACCCCCGCGAGGACUGAGGAUAAAAUCCUCAAAACUAAGAGCACCAGCUCUAAGUAUUAAUAAAAUUAACCUAUAGAUCCGGAUAGGCCGAUCAACGGACCGAGUUACCCCAGGGAUAACAGCGCAAUCCUCUUACAGAGCCCAUAUCGCCAAGAGGGUUUACGACCUCGAUGUUGGAUCAGGACAUCCUAAUGGUGUAACCGCUAUUAAGGGUUCGUUUGUUCAACGAUUAAAGUCCUACGUGAUCUGAGUUCAGACCGGAGUAAUCCAGGUCAGUUUCUAUCUAAUGAUAUGAUCUCCUUUAGUACGAAAGGACCAAGGAGAUGAGGCCAAUGCAAAAUGUAAGCCUCGCCCCCACCUAUUGAAGUAAUCUCAAAUAGGUAGGGGGCCUAAUCAUUACCCGAAAAUAACGGUU